rnacentral:rRNA from 1 species
ACUGCGAAUGGCUCAUUAAAUCAGUUAUUGUUUAUUUGAUGGUACCUUUACUACUUGGAUAACCGUGGUAAUUCUAGAGCUAAUACAUGCUAAAAACCCCGACUCAAGAAGGGGUGUAUUUAUUAGAUUCAAACCAGUGUCCCUCGGGACUUUUUGGUGACUCAUAAUAACUUAACGCAGCGCAUGGCCUUCGUGCCGGCGCGGGAUCAUUCAAAUACCUGCCCUAUCAAGUUUCGAUGUGAGGGUAGUGUCCUCACAUGCUUUUGACGGGUAACGGGGAAUUAGGGUUCGACUCCGGAGAGGGAGCCUGAGAAACGGCUACCACAUCCAAGGAAGGCAGCAGGCGCGCAAAUUACCCAAUCCCGAUACGGGGAGGUAGUGACAAGAAAUACCGAUUCAGGAUCUUAUUGGAUCUUGAGAUUGGAAUGAGUACAAUUCAAACCCAUUAACGAGGAACAACUAGAGGGCAAGUCUGGUGCCAGCAGCCGCGGUAAUUCCAGCUCUAGUAGCGUAUAUUAAAAUUGUUGCAGUUAAAACGCUCGUAGUUGAACUUUGGGCUUGGCUGGCUGGUCCGCCUCACCGCGAGCACUGGUCCGGCUGGGCCUUUCCUCUUGGGGAUCCACAUGCCCUUCACUUGGGUGUGUUGGGGAACCAGGACUUUUACUUUGAAAAAAUUAGGGUGUUCAAAGCAGGCAUUUGCUCGAAUACAUUAGCAUGGGAUAAUAGAAUAGGACGUGUGGUCUUAUUUUGUUGGUUUCUAGGACCGCCGUAAUGAUUGAUAGGGAUAGUUGGGGGCAUCGGUAUUCAAUUGUCAGAGGUGAAAUUCUUGGAUUUAUUGAAGACCAACUACUGCGAAAGCAUUUGCCAAAGAUGUUUUCAUUAAUCAGGGAACGAAAGUUAGGGGAUCGAAGAUGAUCAGAUACCGUCGUAGUCUUAACCGUAAACUAUGCCGACUAGGGAUCGGGUGGUGUUCCAUUUAUGACCCACUCGGCACCU